ensembl:lncRNA
CCGCAGUACAUAGCUGUAUGUUCUAGUUGUGAGUGCCUCUGGUUGUGGCAUGUGGGAUGCCGCCUCACUGUGGCCUGAUGAGCGGUGCCAUGUCCGCACCCAGGAUCCGAACCGGCGAACCCUGGGCCUCCGUCCGAAGUGGAGUGCACGAACUUAACCACUCGGCCCUGGGGCCGGCUCUGAAAUCCAGAAUUGAGAAGGAAACAAGAACAACGGCAGGAGAUGCUCCCUUCCUCUGCUUGAAGUCUCGGCUUAACAUCGCUCUGUGAGAUUAUCAGUGGACCUGAAAAUGGGAAGAGUCCGUCCUUUGAUUUGCCAAAAUGUAUCACCAAGAACUAACACACAAAGCUUAAAGCUUAACAGCAUACGUUUGUAGUCACGUAGACUUGAGUUCAAAUUGUGGCUCUGCCAUCACUGGCUCCUUGACCUUAGAAAAGCCAAUAACCUCUCUGUGGUCUACAAAAUGGGGAUUACCACUCCACCCACCUUAUAGGGCUGUAAUGAAGACGAAACACAAUAACACGUCACAGUGGUUAACGCAGUACCCGACUCAACGCAAACAGCUGGAACCAGAGCAGACUUAAAAGCAGAGUUAAACUCAACACUCCUUGCUAAGGAAACCCGAUCAUGAUUCUCAGCCGAGGCCAUCUCCAGCAUCCUGUCUGGGACCGGGCAGAGGGUUAGCUGAGAGAUGCUGGGAAGUCCGCUUUGGCUGGUGGUUCCAACAACACUUCUAGUCCUGAGACAAAAACCAGGAGAGUACAGUUGUUCCUGAUUGGUGGUAAGAUAACACUCAAAUUGAAAACGAUGAUUCGUCAGCUUUAUGGAGAGAACACAGGCUCACACCUCCCAAUAUGUCUCAGUCUGCAAUUAAUUGUCAAUGUGCCAUUAGAAGCCAGCCUCACAGUUAUUAAACAAAGCAAAGAUGGUGAAAACAAAACAAGUUUAUGAUCUACAACAAAGAAAAAGAGCCAAUAGAAUCGGGGACAAUACUCCAUGUGAAAAAAUAUUGUCCAACUGGAAGAGAGGAAGCAACUGAUUAUUAUGCAAAAAAAAGAGGCAACUACAAAAAAGAAUGGGGAGAGGAGGAAAAGGCACACGGAUUGAAACAAUCGUGGUCAGAAAGAGCAGGAGCUGAUGUCAUACUUGGCACUCGCUGAAGUAAUACUCAUUCCUCUGAGGGAUGGUUGAAUACGUUAAGGAAAAAUAAAAAAUAUACUAUUUGCAACCAUACCAGACUUGAUCAGGAAUGAACUCCAGAGACAUCUAUGCAUGUGGAAGAAGAUAGACACCAACCAGUUUGCGUCACAACCUGGCUGUCACGUCCCACUUACCGAAGAACUUACCACUGACGGUUUGAAAGAAAAUGCAUAUUUGUUUUUAUCAAAUAAACUCAGGAAAAUAGUACUAAAAAAUCUAUGAGUUUCAAAAGAGGUUUGGCUAAGUGCUUACAACGUCCACUGCAGUGUUUGAAGCAGCUGCCCUCCUUAGCAAAGUUGCCUGGGAACUGACCAGCCCAAAGAAGGCCUGGACCACCGUAUUUCAGUCAAAGUGUUCAGGAGCAGAAGCAAGAGAUAGCCAAACUACGCACAUCUCCAGUCUAUAAAUGCGGACUGCUAUAAGUUGAAAUAUCCUAAAUCGUCUUUGCGAGUCUCCUUUUCUUAGCUGUUCAUAAUCGUGGAUUUCCACUCAUGCAUCUCACGUUAUCCCCUUGGAAGGAAUUCACUAAAAUGUUCAUGGUAUAUUCACUACACUUGGGUGCACACCAAGUCAACAUUUAUUAGAUGUUUCUGAAUAUGAUUAUUUCAAUAGAUAUUUUUGGCAUUGUUUUUUAAUUAAAGAAAUUGUUUUUGUAUCCUAUCCUAUUCUAACUGUCCCAGCUUGCCCCUCAAGGAGUGUAAUCUCUUCCUUCUUCAGGUCUUGAUGGCUUCUGUACCUCUCUUAG